rnacentral:rRNA from 1 species
UUUAUGGAGAGUUUGAUCCUGGCUCAGGAUGAACGCUGGCGGCGUGCCUAAUACAUGCAAGUCGAGCGAACGGACGAGAAGCUUGCUUCUCUGAUGUUAGCGGCGGACGGGUGAGUAACACGUGGACAACCUACCUAUAAGACUGGGAUAACUUCGGGAAACCGUAGCUAAUACCGGAUAAUAUUUUGAACCGCAUGGUUCAAAAGUGAAAGACGGUCUUGCUGUCACUUAUAGAUGGAUCCGCGCUGCAUUAGCUAGUUGGUAAGGUAACGGCUUACCAAGGCAACGAUGCAUAGCCGACCUGAGAGGGUGAUCGGCCACACUGGAACUGAGACACGGUCCAGACUCCUACGGGAGGCAGCAGUAGGGAAUCUUCCGCAAUGGGCGAAAGCCUGACGGAGCAACGCCGCGUGAGUGAUGAAGGUCUUCGGAUCGUAAAACUCUGUUAUUAGGGAAGAACAUAUGUGUAAGUAACUGUGCACAUCUUGACGGUACCUAAUCAGAAAGCCACGGCUAACUACGUGCCAGCAGCCGCGGUAAUACGUAGGUGGCAAGCGUUAUCCGGAAUUAUUGGGCGUAAAGCGCGCGUAGGCGGUUUUUUAAGUCUGAUGUGAAAGCCCACGGCUCAACCGUGGAGGGUCAUUGGAAACUGGAAAACUUGAGUGCAGAAGAGGAAAGUGGAAUUCCAUGUGUAGCGGUGAAAUGCGCAGAGAUAUGGAGGAACACCAGUGGCGAAGGCGACUUUCUGGUCUGUAACUGACGCUGAUGUGCGAAAGCGUGGGGAUCAAACAGGAUUAGAUACCCUGGUAGUCCACGCCGUAAACGAUGAGUGCUAAGUGUUAGGGGGUUUCCGCCCCUUAGUGCUGCAGCUAACGCAUUAAGCACUCCGCCUGGGGAGUACGACCGCAAGGUUGAAACUCAAAGGAAUUGACGGGGACCCGCACAAGCGGUGGAGCAUGUGGUUUAAUUCGAAGCAACGCGAAGAACCUUACCAAAUCUUGACAUCCUUUGACAACUCUAGAGAUAGAGCCUUCCCCUUCGGGGGACAAAGUGACAGGUGGUGCAUGGUUGUCGUCAGCUCGUGUCGUGAGAUGUUGGGUUAAGUCCCGCAACGAGCGCAACCCUUAAGCUUAGUUGCCAUCAUUAAGUUGGGCACUCUAAGUUGACUGCCGGUGACAAACCGGAGGAAGGUGGGGAUGACGUCAAAUCAUCAUGCCCCUUAUGAUUUGGGCUACACACGUGCUACAAUGGACAAUACAAAGGGCAGCGAAACCGCGAGGUCAAGCAAAUCCCAUAAAGUUGUUCUCAGUUCGGAUUGUAGUCUGCAACUCGACUACAUGAAGCUGGAAUCGCUAGUAAUCGUAGAUCAGCAUGCUACGGUGAAUACGUUCCCGGGUCUUGUACACACCGCCCGUCACACCACGAGAGUUUGUAACACCCGAAGCCGGUGGAGUAACCUUUUAGGAGCUAGCCGUCGAAGGUGGGACAAAUGAUUGGGGUGAAGUCGUAACAAGGUAGCCGUAUCGGAAGGUGCGGCUGGAUCACCUCCUUUCU